rnacentral:lncRNA from 1 species
AAAAUUCAAGGGAAAAUUGGUGGAUUUCAAGGAAUUAAGCAAGGUAAAAUUUCUUGAUUUUAGCUUGUGAUCUACCUUUCCUAUGCAUUCUUUUUCAUUUUUCAUGGUUGAGAAUCAAGUUUGCAUGAAGAUACCUUUGCUGGCCGGACAUGGGGGGAGGGGUUUUGAUCUUGGAUUUAACUAGAUUACAUGUUAUUCUAGUGUUUUUAG